rnacentral:rRNA from 1 species
GUUUGAUCAUGGCUCAGAACGUACGCUGGCGGCACGCCUAACACAUGCAAGUCGAACGCAGUAGCAAUACUGAGUGGCAGACGGGUGAGUAACAUGUGGGAAUCUGCCUUGUGGUUCAGGACAACAUUGGGAAACCGAUGCUAAUACUGGAUAAGCCCUUACGGGGAAAGUUUUAAUGCCAUAAGAUGAGCCCGCAUUUGAUUAGUUAGUUGGUGAGGUAAUGGCUCACCAAGACAAUGAUCAAUAGCUGAUCUGAGAGGAUGAUCAGCCACACUGGGACUGAGACACGGCCCAGACUCCUACGGGAGGCAGCAGUGGGGAAUCUUGCACAAUGGAGGAAACUCUGAUGCAGCGAUGCCGCGUGAGUGAAGAAGGCCUUUGGGUUGUAAAGCUCUUUUGUAGGGGAAGAUAAUGACUGUACCCUAAGAAUAAGGUCCGGCUAACUUCGUGCCAGCAGCCGCGGUAAUACGAAGGGACCUAGCGUAGUUCGGAAUUACUGGGCGUAAAGCGCGCGUAGGCCGUUGAGUUAGUUAAUUGUGAAAUCCCAAAGCUUAACUUUGGAACUGCAAUUAAAACUGCUCGACUAGAGUUUGAUAGAGGAAAGCGGAAUACAUAGUGUAGAGGUGAAAUUCGUAGAUAUUAUGUAGAACACCAGUUGCGAAGGCGGCUUUCUGGAUCAACACUGACGCUGAGGCGCGAAAGUAUGGGUAGCAAAGAGGAUUAGAUACCCUCGUAGUCCAUACCAUAAACGAUGAUUGCUAGAUGUUGGAAAUUUAUUUUCAGUAUCGCAGCUAACGCAUUAAGCAAUCCGCCUGGGGAGUACGACCGCAAGGUUAAAACUCAAAUGAAUUGACGGGGACCCGCACAAGCGGUGGAGCAUGUGGUUUAAUUCGAAGAUACGCGCAGAACCUUACCAACCCUUGACAUGUCUGUCGCGAGUUUAGGAAACUAGACUUUUCGGUUCGGCCGGACAGAACACAGGUGCUGCAUGGCUGUCGUCAGCUCGUGUCGUGAGAUGUUGGGUUAAGUCCCGCAACGAGCGCAACCCUUGUCUUUAGUUGCUACGCAAGAGCACUCUAAAGAGACUGCCGGUGACAAACCGGAGGAAGGUGGGGAUGACGUCAAGUCCUCAUGGCCCUUAUGGGUAGGGCUUCACACGUCAUACAAUGGUGCAUACAGAGGGUUGCCAACCCGCGAGGGGGAGCUAAUCUCAGAAAAUGCAUCGUAGUCCGGAUCGUAGUCUGCAACUCGACUACGUGAAGCUGGAAUCGCUAGUAAUCGCGGAUCAGAAUGUCGCGGUGAAUACGUUCCCGGGUCUUGUACACACCGCCCGUCAUACCAUGGGAGUGGGUUUUGCCAGAAGCCGUUAGCCUAACCGCAAGGAGGGCGACUGCCACGGCAGGGUUCAUGACUGGGGUAAAGUCAUAACAAGGUAGCCGUA